rnacentral:lncRNA from 1 species
UGACUUAAAGUUACUUUUUUAAUAAUAAAAUUUGUAAGUUUAUUAGGCUGUAGAUGUAUUCUUAGAAACGACAAUAGAGUGCGGGAGGAAUGUGACACCCAACUUUUCAAGAAAGUCACUCAUCUUAGAAUUACUCUAACUGUAGCAUAUAUUCUAGAACUAUUUUAAUUCUAUCACGCUUAACUCUCUUAAUCUCUUGAAUUUAACCACUGUCUAAAAUACUGUAACCGGAUUAUGAGGUUUACACCUAUUUAUUUUAUAUACUAGAAUAUUUCAAAUUCUAAGAGUGUCACAAGGGAUGGGAG